CUCUGCAAGAGAGACAGAGAGACUAGAUCUGUCUUUCAACAAUACUGCAAGGACAGAAACCAGAGCAGGAGAUUUUAUUAAUGCUGUGGAAGAGCAACAAGCUACCCUUCUGUACAUUACACAGGUGGGACAGACUUGGUGGGGUGAGAAUUCGCUUGGAGAGGAAGGGUCUGCAGUGGAACUUGGAGCUCUAAGACAUGGCUGGGGAACCUUUUUUGGUCCCUUCCAGGCAACCCUCCAGGGGUGACAGUCAGAGAUUGUCCCAGAGUGAGCUGUGAGUAGCUGAUGCCUUCUUGGGUGUUCCUUCAAUUAAAGCCCAGGAGAAGACAUUAUGAGAACAGAUCUGCCGUGCUGUUCCUGCUGGCUGUUUGAAGAGUCUUCUUUGAAGCCCAAAGAGAAAUUCAUUUCCCAGGCUUUGCAAUUCAUUGAAAGAUGAGGCUGAUGACCACAGAAAGGGUCAAUCAGAUUAGCCUUUGAUGACCCCCGUGUUUGUGUCUUUAAUGGGCGUCUUGCAAAAUGAUAUUUCCAGUUUUUAAUGCUGUGCCUCGUAUGUGAGAUCAUACAGGAUAUUAGUUUUGAUUGUCUGGUGCCACAAGGAUUGCAAUUGAUUCCCCCCCCAACCCCACAUAUCUCCUUUCUGUCUUGGCUUCCUCUGCCUUAUUGCAUACCUUCUAACAAUAUAUUCAUGCUAACCUCUAAGAAUGUCUUACAGUACUGAUCUCAAUGCCACAUUGGGCAUAUUUAUUAUUAUUUUUUCUUCAUUCAGUACGGAGGCUAAUAUCUUGUUGUCUUUUGUCUGAAACCACAGAGCAUGAAGUCAGGAAUUGUUCCGCCCUCUGACAGUUGUG